AGUGAACGCUGGCGGUAGGCCUAACACAUGCAAGUCGAACGGCAGCACAGUAAGAGCUUGCUCUUACGGGUGGCGAGUGGCGGACGGGUGAGGAAUACAUCGGAAUCUACUUUUUCGUGGGGGAUAACGUAGGGAAACUUACGCUAAUAACGCAUACGACCUACGGGUGAAGGCAGGGGAUCUUCGGACCUUGCGCGAUUGAAUGAGCCGAUGUCGGAUUAGCUAGUUGGCGGGGUAAAGGCCCACCAAGGCGACGAUCCGUAGCUGGUCUGAGAGGAUGAUCAGCCACACUGGAACUGAGACACGGUCCAGACUCCUACGGGAGGCAGCAGUGGGGAAUAUUGGACAAUGGGCGCAAGCCUGAUCCAGCCAUACCGCGUGGGUGAAGAAGGCCUUCGGGUUGUAAAGCCCUUUUGUUGGGAAAGAAAAGCAGCAGGUUAAUACCCCGCUGUUCUGACGGUACCCAAAGAAUAAGCACCGGCUAACUUCGUG
rnacentral:rRNA from 1 species